GACGAACGCUGGCGGCGUGCUUAACACAUGCAAGUCGAACGGAAAGGCCCUGCUUUUGUGGGGUGCUCGAGUGGCGAACGGGUGAGUAACACGUGAGUAACCUGCCCUUGACUUUGGGAUAACUUCAGGAAACUGGGGCUAAUACCGGAUAGGAGCUCCUGCUGCAUGGUGGGGGUUGGAAAGUUUCGGCGGUUGGGGAUGGACUCGCGGCUUAUCAGCUUGGUGGUGGGGUAGUGGCUUACCAAGGCUUUGACGGGUAGCCGGCCUGGGAGGGUGACCGGCCACAUUGGGACUGAGAUACGGCCCAGACUCCUACGGGAGGCAGCAGUGGGGAAUAUUGCACAAUGGGCGGAAGCCUGAUGCAGCAACGCCGCGUGCGGGAUGACGGCCUUCGGGUUGUAAACCGCUUUCGCCUGUGACGAAGCGUGAGUGACGGUAAUGGGUAAAGAAGCACCGGCUAACUACGUG
rnacentral:rRNA from 1 species